GUCGGUCUUCGGUAGUGACCUUCCGGACCCGGUCCGGACGGUUUCGAUCGACGACCGCC
rfam:Rhodococcus sp. BCP1 chromosome, whole genome shotgun sequence.